UGGCCUGUAGCUCAGCAGCAGAGCACUCGUCUGAUAUACGAGCGGCGCAGGUGCGCCCCCUGCCGGGCCAACCA
rnacentral:tRNA from 1 species